rnacentral:lncRNA from 1 species
ACAAUUUAAUAUUUAAAUAUAGUUGACCGUAUAAAUAUUGUGGUUGACUUAAUUAAAUUGUAGAAAUACAUGUUAAAUACUCCUUAUAUUAGUAGUAAUUGACUUAUUUAAAUAGCAACUAAUUAAUUAAAUAAUACAUUAAUAACCCAAUUUGGAGAAAUACAUAAGAACUAAACAAAAUUAAGUAAUACAACAUCAAAAUAUUAUAGAUCAAAUAAUAAAAUCAAAAAACAAUAUCAGUACAAUCCAAUCCAACUUAGAAUAAUAAAAAUUAAAAAAUUAAAAGGCUAAACCUCAAUUUGGGGAAGACGGGGAUUGAAUAUAAAAGUCAUAGAUUUCGACCAAAUUAGAUUUGUAGGGAACUGAAUCCAUUUCCUUCUCCAUAAUUCCAAAUCUCCAAUGACAAUGACUUCUCGAAAUCUUCUCCUACCUUCCCGAUAUCUUCUCACGUCUUCCUUUCGUCGUGCUACCUGUGCUUCGCAAAUCCUACACAAGUUAACAUUUGUACACGCAUUAGCCAAACAUAUCGACACAUACUCAAUAUAAAACUAGUUUCAGCUUACAUUAGCUUCUAUCUUAGUUCUUAAAAUAUUUGUUUUAUUUGCAAAGUUUAUAGAAAUCUUUGCCUAUCAUAGCCACCUUAUCCUCGAUUAUGUUAAAAUUCACUCGACUCUUGUAUUAUUAUUUAAGAGAUCAUUAUAUACCGAUCAUACCAGUCAUACAUGCUACAUACAAUUACUAUGUAACUUGGUGAUUUUUUUCCAAUUCAGCCUUCAAAGCGACUAAGUAUGUUAUUUGUAACAUCUUUAAACACUUCCCAAGUUGUAUUAGACAACCUAAGUAUUACAUCUGUUAUAACUUUACUUGGUUUGGUAUCUAAUUCCCAUUCUUUUAAAUAUUUCAUUUGAUUUGAUAUUUAUAAUUUUUACAAUUGAAUUUCAUCAAUUUAUACAAGUUCUGAUCAGCUUCCUUAUGUUAUCUUCAUCAAGUCUUGAAAGGUAUUUAGGUGUAUUACAUAACUCACUACUCCUGCUUAGCAAAACCAAACAUAUGCUGGUGUUCUGCAACAGUGAAGCUGCAGCGCCUUAAUAAGCCUUCGAAGAGGCGCUGCUACGCUACACCCGGGUUUAUUUUUAAAAUUUCCUUAUUGGCGCUGCAGUGGCCAAAUCUACGUACAGGCGCUGCGAUGCCGUCACUCUACGAUCGUUUAGCCUGAAGGGCGCUGUAGCGCCCGAAGUGGCGUUUAUACUGGCGUUGCGGCGCUAGUGCCCUGCACUUGAUUCUGCAGGUUCAGCUUCUGCAAUUUUUUCCAGUUUCCUUCGAGCCUCCUAUCGGUUACCACAUCUAUUGCUACACAAAUCCAAAUGACUUGGGGUUUGAUUCUAUUUCGAGACCUUGCUACAAGGUAUAACGUUCACCAGUAAUUGAUCUCUAAUAACAUCAUUAAGACCUCUAAUCUAUGUCCCAAAAAUCAGUGUUCAUCACUGUUUUACAAAUGAAAUUCUCACUUGUUUAAAAUUUCAUUCCUUUUUGCUUUCAAUCUGAUUUGGUUCCUCUGAUUAGCUUAGGAAACCUCACACACAUAUUCAAAUGUCUUUUAGUUCCAAGCCUUCGGUAAUUAUUCGGUUUUAAGCUUGGAAACCUUAUUUGGGCAUUUUAUCAAUCAGUUAGUGUGCAUCUCUUAAUUUUCAGAUUUUCAUAAACAUUUGUUUAUGGUUUGGCUAGGAUUUCACCAUGGAAAUCCUCCACCCUUAUUCCCCUGCACAACAACUAUUCUUCUUUUUACUAAAUCUCAAUUACCACAACAAUUACUUAUCCAAGCUAUACAUCAUAACUUCUUAUUCAUGCUCUACUUUCAUUACCAAUACUUGGAAGAAAAAGAAGAAAAUGAAAGAAUUCAUAAUUUGAUUAAUACCUUGAUUGAUUUGAUGAGCUAUAGUUCAAUCCUUGUCCAAUUAUUUUCCCCAAUUUCAGUUCCUCUUAUUGCUAACUUCUUCUCUCGUUUUUCCUUUGAAUUUGGGGCUUGGAAGCUGGGUGAUUGUGAGAGAAAAGAGGGAGGAACGAAUGGGAGGAGGAAUGAGAGAAUGAAGAGGCUGAAAUCUGAUUUCUUCUUUAUCAGAUAGAGGCUAGUGUAACAUUAAGCCAACCUUAUUAAUACCCAGCUCCUAUUUGGCAUACGUACUCAGCUUAUGUUCCC